GGAUGUGAGGGCGAUCUGGCUGCGACAUCUGUCACCCCAUUGAUCACCUGGGUUGAUUCUGCUGACCUGGCUGGGCGAGUGUCCCCUUCCUCCCUCACCACUCCAUGUGUAUCCCUCCCCAAGCUUCACGCUUGGUCAAAGAGAACCACCGCUUCCUCGGUCAAGGCUGUAUGAGUAGCUGCGCUCCCCUGCCAGAACCUCUAAACAAGCUCUCAAUUGAAGGUGCGGACAGAGUUGGUCUCCUGAAGGAGAGCCUGAUCCAUCCCUCUUGAAGUU
rfam:Heterocephalus glaber contig73476, whole genome shotgun sequence.